GCCUCGAUCCCAGGCCGAGUUUUCGCUUUUAUAACGGUUAGGCGAACAACUGGGCCUGGUACUAGUUGUCUGCGCAUGCGUCAGUCGUUCGUCAGAUUCUGACGAAUGGAUAUUCUCGUUCACUUUCGUGACAUUUAUAUUUGUGUACUAUCGUGUACUAGAAGUCAGUUCCCGUUUUAUCAUUAUUUGGAAUGGCUCUUAGCUGAAGCUUCUCUCUUCUCUGAAGCUUAUUCUGAAGACUGAACAACAAGGGAAGAGGUAUAAAGCUUUGUCAAGCUUGUUAAGGUCAGAUAUUUUGUGUGGGCCCUAUGGCCGGCUAUGCUAUCAAGUCUUGUUCAUGUUUGGCAAGAAUGUAGGUAGACUAUAGUUUCAUCAUUAAUAUGGUGGAUCAAGUGAAGAGUGUGAGCUAGAGAACUUGGUGCUGCCAUCAUCAGCUCGUCGACAAUGACACUAUAACCGAGAAAUUUAAUAUGUAUAGAUCUACACGUAUUUAAAAUGUCUACUUCUCUGUACAGGAGCAAUGGCUAAUAUCCAGCUAUCCCAACAGUGCUCCUCUUGGCUAUACUAACGGACGAGACUGGACAGUUUGAGACACAGGACUGGAGUAUGACCUGCUCAUUCGAGCGUUGCUGGGUAGCUCAGAGACAUCAAGAGAAUCUACGUUUUCUCAAGCAAUGAGUUACGAGUUGGGGCCUAGAAUCAGAGAAGUCCAGCAGCCUGCUAAAUCUUUUUGAAACGUAAUUUGAAGGCAUUCAAUCAUCCUGAAGUUGCCCUGGGUCACUGUAAUUGUGCUGCAGCACAACUGGCAACUCCCCAGGCCUUUGUGAAGCAGCUCCCUAUGUGCAUCUUUUGUGUACUCACUCUGUGCAUUUUCUGUGUACAAAUUUCGAUUAUUGAUUUAUUAAAUAUUUUUGCCGACCACAAA